rnacentral:rRNA from 1 species
UACGUAGGUGGCAAGCGUUUGUCCGGAUUUACUGGGCGUAAAGAGCGCGCAGGCGGUCGGUGCAAGUCGCGUCGUGAAAGCCCCGGGCUCAACCUGGGAACCGCGCUUGAGACUGGCACGCUCGAGUUCGGGAGAGGGUGGCGGAAUUCCUGGAUGUAGAGGUGAAAUUCGUAGAUAUCAGGAGGAACACCGGGUGGCGAAGGGCGGCCACCUGGACGACAACUGACGCUGAGCACGCGAAAAGCGUGGGGAGCAAACAGG